rnacentral:rRNA from 1 species
GGAGAGUUUGAUCCUGGCUCAGGAUGAACGCUGGCGGCGUGCUUAACACAUGCAAGUCGAACGAACCUUCGGGUUAGUGGCGGACGGGUGAGUAACGCGUGAGAAUCUGCCCUCAGGAGGGGGAUAACGGCUGGAAACGGCCGCUAAUACCCCAUAUGCCGAGAGGUGAAAUGAAUUUCGCCUGAGGAUGAGCUCGCGUCUGAUUAGCUAGUUGGUAGGGUAAAGGCCUACCAAGGCUUCGAUCAGUAGCUGGUCUGAGAGGAUGAUCACCCACACUGGGACUGAGACACGGCCCAGACUCCUACGGGAGGCAGCAGUGGGGAAUUUUCCGCAAUGGGCGAAAGCCUGACGGAGCAACGCCGCGUGAGGGAUGAAGGCCUCUGGGCUGUAAACCUCUUUUAUCAAGGAAGAAGAUCUGACGGUACUUGAUGAAUAAGCCACGGCUAAUUCCGUGCCAGCAGCCGCGGUAAUACGGGAGUGGCAAGCGUUAUCCGGAAUUAUUGGGCGUAAAGCGUCCGCAGGCGGUCUUACAAGUCUGUCGUUAAAGCGUGGAGCUUAACUCCAUUUCAGCGAUGGAAACUGUAAGACUAGAGUGUGGUAGGGGCAGAGGGAAUUCCCGGUGUAGCGGUGAAAUGCGUAGAUAUCGGGAAGAACACCAGUGGCGAAGGCGCUCUGCUGGGCCAUAACUGACGCUCAUGGACGAAAGCCAGGGGAGCGAAAGGGAUUAGAUACCCCUGUAGUCCUGGCCGUAAACGAUGAACACUAGGUGUCGGGGGAAUCGACCCCCUCGGUGUCGUAGCCAACGCGUUAAGUGUUCCGCCUGGGGAGUACGCACGCAAGUGUGAAACUCAAAGGAAUUGACGGGGGCCCGCACAAGCGGUGGAGUAUGUGGUUUAAUUCGAUGCAACGCGAAGAACCUUACCAGGGUUUGACAUCCUGCGAAUCCCUUGGAAACGAGGGAGUGCCUUCGGGAACGCAGUGACAGGUGGUGCAUGGCUGUCGUCAGCUCGUGUCGUGAGAUGUUGGGUUAAGUCCCGCAACGAGCGCAACCCACGUCUUUAGUUGCCAGCAUUUAGUUGGGCACUCUAGAGAGACUGCCGGUGAUAAACCGGAGGAAGGUGUGGAUGACGUCAAGUCAUCAUGCCCCUUACAUCCUGGGCUACACACGUACUACAAUGCUACGGACAAAGGGCAGCAAACUCGCGAGAGCUAGCAAAUCCCAUAAACCGUGGCUCAGUUCAGAUCGUAGGCUGCAACUCGCCUACGUGAAGGAGGAAUCGCUAGUAAUCGCAGGUCAGCAUACUGCGGUGAAUACGUUCCCGGGCCUUGUACACACCGCCCGUCACACCAUGGAAGUUGGCCACGCCCGAAGUCGUUACUCCAACCCUUGUGGAGGAGGAUGCCGAAGGUGGGGCUGAUGACUGGGGUGAAGUCGUAACAAGGUAGCCGUACCGGAAGGUGCGGCUGGAUCACCUCCU